AUACGGAGGAUCCGAGCGUUAUCCGGAUUUAUUGGGUUUAAGGGGAGCGUAGGUUGACGUAUAAGUCAGCUGUGAAAGUUUACGGCUCAACCGUGAAAUUGGCAGUUGAUACUGUAUGUCUUGAGUGUACAAGAGGUGGGCGGAAUUCGUGGUGUAGCGGUGAAAUGCUUAGAUAUCACGAAGAACUCCAAUUGCGAAGGCAGCUCACUGGGGUACAACUGACACUGAGGCUCGAAAGUGUGGGUAUC
rnacentral:rRNA from 1 species